rnacentral:misc_RNA from 1 species
ACUUCUCAACCCCGCCAAAGGCUUUAUUGACUUUGUGUUGCUUGGGCUUGGAUCAUGACCCUUAAAGUGUUACAGCUUUUGGGUUGAAAUAAAACAAGUUGAAUGAACCAAUUGCAGCUUGACCUGAUGUUGUAAACUACUCAUUGGGGAUGCAAUAAAAUUCAAGGAACUUCAAUAGCCGUCCCAUUAGUACUUCGCGGUACAAAUUUU